rnacentral:rRNA from 1 species
AUUGAACGCUGGCGGCAGGCCUAACACAUGCAAGUCGAGCGAGCGGCGGACGGGUGAGUCAUGCCUGGGAAUUGCUCAGUCGGGGGUGAUAACAGUUGGAAACGACUGCUAAUAGCGCAUACGUCUGGUUUGCUCGAGGUGGAUUAGCUAGUUGGUGAGGUAAUGGCUCACCAAGGCGACGAAGCCUAGCUGGUCUGAGAGGAUGAUCAGCCACACUGGAACUGAGACACGGUCCAGACUCCUACGGGAGGCAGCAGUGGGGAAUCUUGCGCAAUGGGGGAAAGCCUGACGGAGCCAUGCCGCGUGUGUGAAGAAGGCCUUCGGGUUGUAAAGCACUUUCAGCAGGGAAGCGGUACUCGCAGAAGAAGCAACGGCUAACUCCGUGCCAGCAGCCGCGGUAAUUC